rnacentral:lncRNA from 1 species
CUUGGAUUCUUGGAAGCAAUAAAUAUUUGCUUUCCAGCUGUGAAUCAAACUCUUGAUCAACAAUCUUUUCCAUGAGAAAAUAUUCACCUUCAUUGAUCAUGAAUAAUAAUACUCCCCCCUACUUCUGGUACCAUCGCUCUUGGAAUAACUAGAUUCUUUACUUCUUUAAAAAUUUUUCUUUCUGGAGUUUCUGUAUAUGCAUGUCUGUCAUCUGCAUGUCUGAAUGUUCUUUGUUUGCUUGCCUCUUCUCAUCAAUCUUCAUGAAUAAUUCUAAAGCUUCUUUCCCGCAUCCUUGGAAAUCCACUCCAAAUUCUUUGCCAAGCCGGAUUAUAUUCUGAUGAACCUAUAGUGAUGCUUCGAAUUCUGAAUCCUUUUAGCUUGAUGGGUUUAGUCUUUAGUGGAUUAGCGUCAAACUUUUCUUUGUUCCGUUUCUGCAUUCAUGCAUGACCUAAAUUUCAGGUAUGCCCUUUGCCCUGAAGGAACUCGCGUCCUUCUCUUUUCUAUCUCUGCAUGUUGUAAGUUUGUUGUGCAUCUUCAAUUAUCCAGCCCACUUCUUUGCUUCAUUCACUUGUCUGCAGUUCUCUUCUUGUGGAGUUUCGAGAGAAUUACCACAUUCUUCAAAAACUAUCAUGGAAUUUUCUUCAAUGGACUUGAUAUUUUGUUCUUCUUCAUCCCUUCUUUUUCUGUAGCUUUUUUUCUUUCUUCAUCGGGCUUACAAUUUGGUUCUUCUUCAUCCCCUUCUUUUUCUGAAUCUUUUUCUCUCUUCAACUCUCGUGUCUGUUUCAUUCUGUAUCACUAAAGAUUCUAAUAUUGUAGCAGCAGAAUUUGCAUUUAACUCUUCCAUAAAGGAAUCAGGCAUGGGCUCAUAUUGGAGGCCCUCAUGUUAAAAAAUCUGGAAAGGUUUGGGCCAACAAAUCUGGGUCCAAUGAGCUUUUUAACUGACUUAACUUCUGAACUGGGACCAAUUCUUGAGCUUUUCUCCACGUGAGAAGUCACGUGUGGAUUUCAGAAUUUUGAUUUGUGGAACAGCCUGUGUCUCUGCCACUGUAGAAGAACCCACGUGCCCUGUCACAUAUUUACCUAGAGCCCCCCUCCCUGAUGCAUACUUAUCCUCUACAGCCCAGCGGCCCGAAACCUUCUCUCCUCCUCCUUCUCCAGCGAAAGUUCUCACUGAUGCCUCACACCAGACCUGAAUCUGAUAAGUUAACCCAUCGAAACCCACCUUCACUGAUUUCGGAACUGAUUCCCCAUCCCCUCUCACCUUUACCCUUGCCCAUUUUAAGUGAUUUCUGAGCUCUGUCUCCUCUUCUGUUUGUAACCAACCACCACAAUAAUCACCCACUUCCUUGAAGAUUUUAUGAGACCAUAACUGGAUAGGCAGACCAACGAGCCUUAUUCACAGAUGGUUUAAUUUUUCACUACUUGGAAUAGAGCCCACUGUCGGUGUCCACCAUUGUAGAUGGACCUUGUGCAUUUUCUAGAACCAUUCACCUUUCAGGACGUGCUCAGCAGUUAUCUUCGAAGAGAAUUCAAUGAGAAGCCGAUUCUUGCCCAUCUCAUAAAUAUUGACUCCAUAUGCUUGCUUCCAAGAAUUACUAGUCCAACGAUGAAUUUUUGAGAGAGU